rnacentral:misc_RNA from 1 species
GAUGAAGAACGUAGCGAAAUGCGAAAAGUAAUGUGAAUUGCAGAAUUCAGUGAAUCAUCGAAUCUUUGAACGCACAUUGCGCCCGCCAGUAUUCUGGCGGGCAUGCCUGUUCGAGCGUCAUUACAACCCUCAGGCCCCCGGGCCUGGCGUUGGGGAUCGGCGGAGCCCCCCGUGGGCACACGCCGUCCCCCAAAUACAGUGGCGGUCCCGCCGCAGCUUCCAUCGCGUAGUAGCUAACACCUCGCGACUGGAGAGCGGCGCGGCCACGCCGUAAAACACCCAACUCUUCUGAAGUUGACCUCGAAUCAGGUAGGAAUACCCGCUGAACUUAAGCAUAUCAAUAAGCGGAGGA